rnacentral:rRNA from 1 species
CCUACGGGAGGCAGCAGUGGGGAAUAUUGGACAAUGGACGGAACUCUGAACCAGCCAUGCCGCGUGAGUGAAGACGUAUCUCGGUAUGUUAAGCUGCUUUUGUACGGAAGUAAACGCAGGUACGUGUCUAUGUCUCCCCGUAUCAUAAGGUGCCAGCAGCACUGGCUCUACGCCGGCAGCAAGCGUAAUCCGGAUUUACGGGGUGUAAAGGGAGUGUAGGCGGUUUAACAAGUCCGUUGUGAAAGGUCGGGGUUCAACCUCAAAACUGCAUUGGAAACUGUUGAACUGGAGUACAGGAGAGGUAGGCGGAAUGCGUGGUGUAGCGGUGAAAUGCGUAGAUAUUAGGAAGAACACCGGUGGCGAAGGCAGCUUACUGGACUGUAACUGACAUUGAGGCUCGAAAGCGUGGGGAGCAAACAGGAGUAGAUACCCUGGUAGUC